GGAAAAUUUAAUCCAGACUGUUGUUGGAGAAACAAGAAUCCUGAGGCCUGUGUAGUAUGAUGCAGGUUCCUCUUUUAAUGUCAUUCUGUUACUUUUGUAAUACAGCAUCUCUGUCCCCAUCUUAGAGCUGUGGGACAGCUGGCAGGACACAGGGAAGUCUCCAGUGUUGACCUCCUGCAUUGUGGAUGGCUAGGUGUUUUCCUCCAUGUGCAUCCACCAGAAUCACCAUGUUCUGAAGGUGGUUGGGAUCUGGGACAACAGGGUUGUGAGAGAAACAAGUGAGCUCUCAGGGCUGCCAGCCGACUGGAUGCACCAUGGAGACGUCCUCCAGAUCACUGGUAGGACAUGGAAGAAAUGGGACUUCGGACGGGGCACGUGUUGUCCCCAUCAGACUGCUCUCUACGCCCUCCCUGUCUGCUUUGCUUUCUGGGCAGCUCCAACUGACCUCCUCCCUUUAGACUUUUCUGGAUAGAAGUCAUGCUCAGUCCCUAGGCACAUUCUCCUGCUGCCUCAGAAACAAGAAGGAUAGAGGCUGGGUUCCCCCAAGGACUCCCAGGUGUGGCCAGCUUCUACUCAGGAAACCACACCCAGGGCAGCAGGCUGGCACUGUGUCUGAAAGAGGCAGUUACCACAAUGUCUUUAUCUCUGAUCACCGGAUGUGUUUUGAAUCAGCACAGUGAAUAUUCAAAAUGGUUUUUCCUUGGACAAAUUAAGGACUCGAUGAUCAGCGUAACAGGGGUAGAAAUGACCUCUCACUGGUGAAGUGGGCGCUGUUCACGGGAGGUGGACUGGCUACUGCAUCUCAGACCCUCCUCACCUGUGGGAGCAGAGUGUGAGAGAGGAGCCUGCAGACCGUUCUUUAGGGGCGACACCCGAAGCUGAUCUCUGGCUAUGCCCGUGCCCUUCCCUGCGGGAUGAUUUCUGGUUACCUAAGGCUGACAGUUCGGACAACAGAAUCCUGCGCUGGGUGAACCUUUCAUGCAAGAUGGGGUCACAGCACCUAAAAGGACAGAGGCUUGUGUCUUCAUUCAGCUUUCAGAACAGGAUGGAUGACAGCUCUGUGCCUCUGUGGUGAACAUGUUUAAUAAAUGCCUGUGUGAGUGACGUAA
rnacentral:lncRNA from 1 species